GAUCUGGGAUGAAUUUGGAUCUAAUUGAGCAAAAAAUUGUGUUUUUUCAAUCUAUUGAAUUUCACAUCCUUAAACCCUUGCAUAUUCAAUCUAUUGAAUUUCGCAUAUUUUUCCUCAAAUUUAUCCAAAAUCAUCCCAAAUC